UUUUUUUUUUUAAAUCAAAAGGACUGUUUUAUUGUCAAUUGUCACAACAGAUGAGCACAGACACAGAGCCUUGGAGUUUAGGACACAGUAUUAUUAUAAGGCCAGAAAUAAAAUAUAUAUAUUGAACUUGUAGGUUUACUGAAUCAUGAUGGCAGAGAUCUCAACUUGCUAGGAAUUUUCAGCGUCGGUGAAGUCAAAAACGCUACUACACACUGAGAGCAGGGAGAAAACAAGAGACAGCAAGAUCCAAGUAACAGCCGACUGCUGAUAGAUAUCUCAUGGAAUGGACUCCAGAACCUGCUUUAUAGGUUUGUCUUCUUCUGAGAUAGAUUAAUCUUGUCUCCCAGACUCAGAGCCAUUCCCUGGCUCUUGGCUCUAAUUCGUAUGUGGCCGGUCACAGGGGCCUCUGGACCCAGGUGAAUUGGCUUUUCAAUGCUGACAUUGGCAAGUGCGUCCUCUCCAAAUAUGCAACGAGCAUAGAGGUUAGCAGCCAUGAACCCACAGUACCCAGACAAAGCCUUUUCUGGGGUGAGACAUUUCAUAUUUGUAAAUUUGAGAAUGUGCUGCAAAUAUUAAUUCAGGUCGAUCAUGUUUUUGUU